GAUUGCCCUUGUUUGCAUAUCAUAUAAAGUUAUAAAGGGAUAUAACUUUAUAUGAUAUGCAAACAAGGGCAAUAA
rnacentral:sRNA from 1 species